rnacentral:rRNA from 1 species
AGUGAACGCUGGCGGCAGGCCUAACACAUGCAAGUCGAACGGCAGCACAGCAGUAGCAAUACUGUGGGUGGCGAGUGGCGGACGGGUGAGGAAUACAUCGGAAUCUGCCUAGUCGUGGGGGAUAACGUAGGGAAACUUACGCUAAUACCGCAUACGACCUACGGGUGAAAGCGGGGGAUCGCAAGACCUCGCGCGAUUAGAUGAGCCGAUGUCCGAUUAGCUAGUUGGCGGGGUAAUGGCCCACCAAGGCGACGAUCGGUAGCUGGUCUGAGAGGAUGAUCAGCCACACUGGAACUGAGACACGGUCCAGACUCCUACGGGAGGCAGCAGUGGGGAAUAUUGGACAAUGGGCGCAAGCCUGAUCCAGCCAUGCCGCGUGGGUGAAGAAGGCCUCGGUUGUAAGCCUUU